GUGCAGUGCCAAAUACUUGACUUUGUCCUCUCUCUCCCUCCCUCAAGUUGGAAAAUGGAAGCCCAUAAUUAUGAAACAUAGCUUUACUCGACUUUCUGUCUCUCACCCUAUAAGGCGUCUUCUCAUGGUUUCAGGGUUACUUCAAUAGUCUCUUCUCUAGACUCAUCUCUCAUCAAUUUCUUUUGCUUACCCGCUAAUUAAUUAUUGCUCUACUAGCUGUUGGUUUUAAAUGGAGACAGAUAACAGCGAAGUCAAGUCCAAAAUGGAAGAUUAUGAAGUCAUAGAACAGAUUGGGAGAGGAGCUUUUGGUUCUGCUUUUCUUGUUCUUCAUAAAGCUGAGAAUAAGAAGUAUGUUUUGAAGAAGAUUCGCCUGGCCAAGCAGACGGAGAAGUUCAAGGAAACAGCUCACCAGGAGAUGGACUUGAUUGCAAAACUUAAUAACCCAUAUAUCGUGGAGUAUAAAGAUUCUUGGGUGGACAAGGGAAGUUGUAUAUGCAUAGUUACGGCCUAUUGUGAAGGUGGAGACAUGGCUGAGAUUAUAAAGAAGGCCAGAGGCAUUUUUUUACCUGAAGAGAAGCUCUGCAAAUGGUUGACUCAGUUAUUGCUAGCUGUGGACUACCUACACUCUAACCGUGUCCUUCACAGAGAUCUUAAGUGCUCCAACAUAUUCCUUACAAAGGACAAUGAUGUUCGCCUCGGUGACUUUGGACUUGCAAAGCUGCUUAACACAGAAGACCUUGCUUCUUCGGUUGUUGGCACUCCCAAUUACAUGUGUCCUGAGCUGCUAGCAGAUAUACCUUAUGGCUACAAAUCUGACAUAUGGUCGCUUGGCUGCUGUAUGUUUGAAAUGGCUGCUCAUCAUCCAGCAUUUAGAGCUCCUGAUAUGGCUGGACUAAUCAACAAAAUAAACAGAUCCACCAUUUCUCCUCUCCCAAUUGUGUAUUCCUUCUCACUGAAACAAAUUAUUAAGAGCAUGCUGAGGAAGAACCCUGAACACAGACCAACAGCUGCAGAACUGUUAAGACAUCCUCAUUUGCAAUCAUAUUUACUUCGUUGCCGCAAUGCUUCUUCUGCAUUACUUCCAAUAAAGCCCAUAAACAAUUCAAAGGAGAAAACAAGGAGAAAAUCAUUGUCCAGCAAAUCUAAUGGUCGCAAAGCCAACAAGGAUAGGGAAGUUAGGCCACUUAACCAGUUAGAAAAUGAUCAUCCAUUUGAGAGAAAUGGUGUAGUGCAACAAAGCAAUCAACCCCACAUUGACAUCCCAACAUCAACAUCCAGUGCAGAAGACAACCUUGAGACCAAGAGGGUUGAUCCUACUAGCUGUACUGUGGAAAUAUCAGAUUCUAUGACUGGUCCAAAGGACAGCUCCUCUGGUUCUGAAACUAGUGUUUGCAAUGGAGAUAAGCAAGUUGACUCUAGCAGUCUACUUCAAAAAGAUAGCACUCAAAUUGAGUUUAUGUUGAAGAACUCACGGAAUUCUGAACGUGAAGAAGAGACCACAUCUGAGCAUUUUCAACAAUUGCAAGAGGUUAAUGUCAAACUUGUCACUGCAAAAGAUCAACUAACUGUUUGCAACCAAAAAGUUGUUGAAGAAGCUGAAACAGACAGAGAGGGUGUGACAGCAGCAGAUAGCAGGGAAUUGGCAAUUCCUGGUCUAAAUUGCACUGACAAAGUUGAUUCCUUUGAUGAUAAAAGCUCAGAGUCACCUAUAAAUAAACCUUAUGCAGAGUCGGAAUGCCGUUUACAGAAACCAGAAAGCCCUGAUGUGUACACAGAAGGAACUCAUAUGGAAUACUUAUCAUCCGAAAGUAAUGAUAUCCUUCCGUGCAAAGAUGAAAUCGGAGCAAAACCAGAUAAGAAUAAAUUCUCUAUCCAUAUGGAGAAAGAUGACGCUUAUGGGGUGAGGGUACCAACACCAAGUGAAAUUUCAUUGCUUAAUGCACUAGCUGCAAUGCAUGGUGAUGAAACCAAGAGUGAGUGGGAGAAUCCUGGACAGCAAAGAGCUGAUGCUCUAGAGUCUUUGCUUGAGCUAUGUGCACGGCUACUUAAACAGGACAAAAUUGAUGAGCUUGCCGGUGUGUUAAAGCCAUUUGGGGAAGAAGUGGUCUCGUCUAGAGAAACAGCAAUUUGGUUAACAAAAAGUCUCAUGUCGCAACAUAAAUUUAAUGGAGGGACCUAAAUAUGAGAUGGCAGUUAGAGGUCUAAGAGAUGCAAAUAGACUAUGCUCAAUUUCUCUUUUCUUGGUGCACCGGAAAUUUCUAAAGGUUCUUCCGCCGUACAGAGGAUGCCCACAUUGGAUCACCAGAUCUUUCCUAUGACAUAGGAUACCCACUAUGAACCAGACACCUUGUUGUACCUCCAGUGGAUGGCUGUAAUAUAUAUCUAUUAGGGUAUGUGACAAAGAAAAGUACCUUCAAUGAAUAAUGGUCUAUUAGGGUAUGCAACUAUAGAAUUCCUGACAAAAUAAAAGUUAAAUUCUAUAGAAUUGUAAUUAAGUUAUAUUGUCUAAGAGCAAAUAUUAGCAUCCAAAGGAUGUGGUAUAGAUGGGGAUGAUAAGAUGUAUGUUUGGUAAUACAUAACGUGGAUCAACGUAGUAUUGAAAGAUUUACAAUUUUUAAAUAUUAAUGCUAAA